AUUGAACGCUGGCGGCAGGCCUAACACAUGCAAGUCGAACGAGUGGCGGACGGGUGAGUAAUGUAUGGGAAACUGCCUUAUGGAGGGGGAUAACUACUGGAAACUGUAGCUAAUACCGCAUACCAUCAGAUGUGCCCAGGUGGGAUUAGCUUGUUGGUGGGGUAACGGCUCACCAAGGCGACGAUCCCUAGCUGGUCUGAGAGGAUGACCAGCCAAACUGGGACUUAGACACGGCCCAGACUCCUACGGGAGGCAGCAGUGGGGAAUAUUGCGCAAUGGGGGCAAGCCUGAUGCAGCCAUGCCGCGUGUAUGAAGAAGGCCUUCGGGUUGUAAAGUUCUUUCGGCAGGGAGGCGUUACCCACAGAAGAAGCACCGGCUAACUCCGUGCCAGCAGCCGCGGUAAUAC
rnacentral:rRNA from 1 species